rnacentral:rRNA from 1 species
UAGCGAAGGGGCUAGCGUUGCUCGGAUUGACUGGGCGUAAAGGGCGCGUAGGCGGUUUGUACAGUCAGACGUGAAAUUCCUGGGCUUAACCUGGGGACUGCGCUUGAGACGGGUGUGCUAGAGGACAGAAGAGGCUCGCGGAAUUCCCAGUGUAGAGGUGAAAUUGUAGAUAUCGAGAGGAACACCGGUGGCGAAGGCGGCCAACUGGACGAAUACUGACGCUGAGACUCGAAAGCGUGGGGAGCAAACAGG